UCCCUGGUAGCUCAGAAGGUAAAGAAUCUGCUUGCAAUGCAGGAGACCCAGGUUCAAUCCUUGGGUUGGGAA
rnacentral:tRNA from 1 species